GACGUAGGGCGCGAGCGUUGUCCGGAUUUAUUGGGCGUAAAGAGCUCGUAGGCGGCUUGUUGCGUCAGCUGUGAAAACCCGCAGCUCAACUGUGGGCUUGCAGCUGAUACGGGCAGGCUUGAGUUCGGCAGGGGAGACUGGAAUUCCUGGUGUAGCGGUGAAAUGCGCAGAUAUCGGGAGGAACACCGGUGGCGAAGGCGGUUCUCUGGGCCUUACCUGACGCUGAGGAGCGAAAGCGUGGGGAGCGAACAGG
rnacentral:rRNA from 1 species